UAUAACAGGGGUUGUGAUUUUAACUGGAAUUUGGCCAAUAAUUGAUUUCACUACAAAAUUGAUUGUGGUUGAGGAGAUUACUGUUAAAGAAGUUUCCCACUGUACUAUACUGUAAUUUUUUUUUCAGGGUCAUGUGAGCUAAAAACAUUGGAAGAAUGUAGCCAAUGUGAGGAAAUAAUAAUAAAAAAUAUAUAUAUAUAUAUACAGUGGGGAAAGAUACAUUAGUGAAAUGUAGAAUAAGGUCAAUCCCAUGUAACAUUACACGGAUAAAGAGAAUUUGGAUUUGGCACCGCCUGCAGCAUAUACUCUAUAUUGGACCUAGAGAGAUAUUAGGGUGUUACAUGAGCAAUACUGAGGACAGUUAGAUGAAAAACAGAGAAUCUCAUGAUGGGAUGAGUAUAAAAGAUAAAAAAUAUUAAAUAUAAAAAUACUGGGCUAAGCACUUACUAUCCUUUUCCUGUAGUUUGGAUGAGAUUUCAGGUAAAGGAUAGCAGAUUAUUUUGUUCUGUUUCUAAGGAAAUCCCAGAAUACCAUAAUGUUAUGACUAUAUCAAAACCUAAUUAUAAAAUGUCAGUUAAUAUCAGUGGCAUUCUAGAUGUCAAAGAGGUUUUGACUAUUGACAGACACUUAUGGACUGUUUAUUACUUUACAGGAAGACAAGGCUUAUUUAAAUAUGCCUUUAGAUAGUUAUUUUAGUAGAUUUGAUAUUAAUUAAGGAAUUAAUGGUAUGUUGGCUUAAGAAGUCUAUUCGUAUGAGCCCAUAUAUAUGGAUAAUAGAGAGAAUUAUGCUGAAGAAGAUAAAGGGAAAUGAAUGACUCCGUACCCAUUGUAUUGGACAGUAGCUAGAACACAAUAUAUUAAAAUUACAUGCAGGAUACAGACAAUGGAUAAUUUAUACUGUAUGUUAUUUUACUAGUAGGAGCUUUCAUUGGGAUUUUGAUUUUGUGAGAACUACAGGGCCUUGGAGGACUGAUAAGAAGUUUAUUAAAAAUCUGUUAUUCUACAGUCGUUAAUAUUAUCAUGCAGGUGGUUGGGCUUAGUAGGAGUAGAGAUAAAGAGGACAAACAAGUGCUCAUUGAAAGAGGGAUUCAUCGAAAGACCUUGACCGAACGUAGCACUCCUCUGGUGCAUAAGGUCUGAGACUUUACUUCUGAAAUAUAUGGCAUUUCAACAGAGUGCCACGAAGGGUGAACAGUUGAGUGAUAUACCAUGGAUAACUUUAAGAAUGAUUCUACCAGCAUUGCUGUUUUGUUAGGAAACGGUGACAACCUUUUGGAAACUCUGGCAGAGAAAUUUAUGGAAUUCCUGGAGAAGGAGGAUUUAACUCUGACUCAGCCCGCCUUCACGCCCCAAGGUGCUAAGAAUCAAACAAGCGGCUCGCACACCAGAAGGUAUGCCUGGAAUGCCAGAUCCCCUCUCUUGGCUUCUGAAGAGGAUUUCAGAGAGAGGGGAAGAGCCGUGCGUUUCUGAGUGAGGACCCCUGGGGGCGUCAGAUUGAGGCUUGUGUACAUGAAAUUAAGAACGGACGAUUGUUGAGAGCAAGAUUUGGACACUAUCUUAGCACUGUCAAGCGGAGCACAAAGAUUUGGUCACCUGAUACUGCUGUAUCUGGAAAUUAGAAAAAAAAGAGUGCAAGGGGAAAGAAAGAAUGCUCGAGUUUGGGUUGAAAACUAUAUGGAUGUGUUUCAUACCAGCUUACUGAUGCAUGAUAGCACUGUGUAUAUGAUUCUUGCAAAAUAUAACAAGUUUAAAAAACAUGAUGAACAGUACUUUAGCUUGAAGAUGUUAGGAUGAAAUCAGCCAGCAAAAUUGCAAAGCAGUGGGUGUUAAUGGAGAUGAUGAUUUUGCAAUUGUACUGUCUUGAUUAAUGCUUAAUUUGCUAUAAACAGAUGUACUGUAACCUAAGUAGUAAUAAUGCUUUUGCUUAAGUACAAAGAUGUAACCCUGUGAUUAAUGCUAUAUGGAAAAUGUAUUGUGUAACUUCACUAACAUUAAGAAAACUGCUUAUUGGCAUGAAAAGUAUGUAGUCACUGAUUUAGAGUAGAAACACUUAUGUAUUAGAAAUAGUUUUUAUGAUAAAUGGACAAUAUAGUAUUUAAGGUGUAUUUCACCGACGGUCAAGAGGAAAAAGAAGAGGAAAAGGGCUAAAGCAAUGCGACGUAAACAACUAAAAGCCUCGGCAGAGGAGUUGGCAGCACUCCAGGUGAUGACAUCAGAAGAACCAGCAUUCGACGUCUGGGUAUAAAAGACUGAGAGAGAGACUCGACCGACGGAUACUGAACAAGCACAGUAUCCCUCGACGCCUGAUACCAGCUGAUUAUACCUUGAUUUUGUAACUUUACUAUUGUACUUUGAUAUAACUUUUGUUAAUUUUAAUAAAACUUGUAUUUUAUUAUUGACAA